UACGUAGGGGGCAAGCGUUGUCCGGAUUCAUUGGGCGUAAAGAGCGUGUAGGCGGCCAGGUAGGUCGGUUGUGAAAACUCGAGGCUCAACCUCGAGAUGUCGGCGGAAACCAUUUGGCUAGAGUCCGGAAGAGGAAAGUGGAAUUCCUGGUGUAGCGGUGAAAUGCGCAGAUAUCAGGAAGAACACCCGUGGCGAAGGCGGCUCUCUGGGACGGUACUGACGCUGAGACGCGAAAGCGUGGGGAGCGAACAGG
rnacentral:rRNA from 1 species